rnacentral:rRNA from 1 species
GACGAACGCUGGCGGUGUGCUUAACACAUGCAAGUCGAACGGUAAGGCCCUUUCGGAGGUACACGAGUGGCGAACGGGUGAGUAACACGUGAGUAACCUGCCCUCAUCUCUGGGAUAACAGUCGGAAACGGUUGCUAAUACUGGAUAUGAGCUUGCAAGGCAUCUUGUGGGUUGGAAAGAUUUUUUUUGGUUGGGGAUGGACUCGCGGCCUAUCAGCUUGUUGGUGAGGUAGUGGCUCACCAAGGCUUCGACGGGUAGCCGGCCUGAGAGGGCGACCGGCCACAUUGGGACUGAGAUACGGCCCAAACUCCUACGGGAGGCAGCAGUGGGGAAUAUUGCACAAUGGACGGAAGUCUGAUGCAGCAACGCCGCGUGCGGGAUGACGGCCUUCGGGUUGCAAACCGCUUUCAAUUGUGACGAAGCUUUUUUGUGACGGUAGCAGUAGAAGAAGCACCGGCUAACUACGUG